CCCGGGGCUUGCGCCUCGGGCUAUGUACGGUUGCCCCUUCGGGGCU
rnacentral:sRNA from 1 species